rnacentral:rRNA from 1 species
CCCUUAGAUGUUCUGGGCCGCACGCGUGCUACACUGAUGCAUUCAACGAGUCUAAAACCUGGUCUGAUAGGGCUGGGUAAUCUUUUGAAAGUGCAUCGUGAUUGGGAUAGAUGAUUGCAAUUCUUCAUCUUCAACGAGGAAUGCCUAGUAAACGCAAGUCAUCAGCUUGCAUUGAUUACGUCCCUGCCCUUUGUACACACCGCCCGUCGCUCCUACCGAUUGAAUGAUCCGAUGAAUACCAUGGAUUAAGAGUACGAAUAGGUUCGCUUAUUUCUGCUGCUCGAGAAGUGGAGUAAAUCUUAUCAUUUAGAGGAAGGAGAAGUCGUAACA